GAUACAUCAUAGUCAUGUUAAUUGCAGCUAGAACUGGCUUAAAUCAAAGUGCAUUUGCAAGAAAAGUAAGGGAUUUGAAUGUGGGACCUCUUGGUUCCAGGGCCUCAACCUUGGCUAGUUUUACCACUAGAGUAAAGCAUCAUUAGCUCUUAGAAUGCCCCAAAUUAUCAGUAGAACCUGUUGAUAUCUUAAUUCCUACCAGGGUUACAUGUGGAUUCUUGGGGUUUCUAAUUAGAAUAUUAUUAUGUGGGACUGCAGCUGGUUAUGAUUCAAGUUAGCGUUUAUGGGUUCUCUAGGUUUAUUUCAUUGUAGAUUGAUUGGUCUGGUUUCACGUUUACUUGGCUUUCUGGCAACUAACGUGCUUUAUAAGUUUGUUUUCAGAGCAUUAUGAAGUUAGUUUAUGUGUCUUGAUAUCUGAAAACCUAGAAAGAACUAUGCUUCUUAGGAGCUCUGCUGGUAUGGUGCUAUUGAUUCUCUCUAUUAAAUUAAUUUUGUAUUGUUCUUGUAUGGUAAAUAAAUGGAGAAUCAAGUAGGCUAUUUCAAAAAUUGUGAUUCAACUUUAGGAACAUAAAAUAUUGUUCCCAUUUCAGGUGAAAGCUAAAGUAUCAGCUUAAUACUCAUUUUGUUCUUCUUGAACUACAUUGAGCACCUUGGCCAUAAUAGCAUUGAGAUUAAUUGGUUGAGAAUGCCAUAAACAUUGUUGCAACCUACUGCAUUUGGAAGUAUAAAAUAAAGCACCAAAGGAAAGAAAUAGUGAUAAUAAUAAUAAUCACAAUGAUGGUGAUGGUGUGCUGCUGGAGGCAGCAGAAGUGUAUUACAAAAUCUAGUACUUCUUACUUUUCUAUGACAGAGCUGAGAACCAAAAGAAUAAACUGUCAAAAUUCUUAGAGGAAAAAAGAAAAUGAUAAAUUACCAAAAAAAAAAAAGAAGGAAGAGCAUCUAGCUCCUAUAAUCUGAUGCAUCCAGGAAUUCUGUGGAAGAUGAAAACCAGGAUAGACUUCUUCAAACUCUCAGAUUCUAUCUGCUACAUAGAACAUUUAUCUGAUGAUAUGACAUUGAAAACCAAGGGAAAAGCGUCCUGACGUAGAUUAAGCUUGCAGGAGUGAACAGUGAAGCUAGAUUUUGGGCUUAUUAGAAAGCUAAAAUGGGACGAAGACAAGAUGAAAAAUCAGAAUUUGCAACUAAGAGUAGCUAGGUGGCAGAGUAGCAAAAAAAGAGCAUAUUAUGAGGCCUGUUUCAUAGCUGUUAGGCACCAUGACAUGAACAGUACAUGAGUAGUAAAAUAAAAAGGUUAUGCUUCAGACCAAAUGUAUUAUGCAUCACACCCAAGGUUCCAUCGCGUCAUACCUAGGGUUGAAUUGCAUUACACAAUACAUAGAAGCAUAAUUUCUAGAAUUUUAUUGACAAGAAAAAAUGAAUAAUAAGCAUUACAAGCAUUGAUAUUUGUAAAACCAAAACCUGGAGGACAGAUUUGAACUCCAAAAUUAGCCUUUACAUUCUUAAUGAUUUGGACUCCCAAUCUUCCAUGGAAAAAUAAAAAAAAAAAUAUUAUCCUAAACCAAUAAGGAUUCAAAUUGAAACACUAAAAUGAAAAAAAUAAUAAUAAAUAAAGACUCCUAAAGACAUCUGGCCAACCUAUUCUAAAAACACUGGAAAUUACAAAAAAACGUGAGACGAAAUAUUGAACCGGUUGCUUUUAUUUAAAUAAAUAUAUAAAUAAGACUCUAGAAGGACUGGUAAGUAUAAUAUAAUAUCUCAGACUAACUCAAAAUUAGAUCUGAACCAUAAUUCCAAUUUUCUUGUGUACUUAAAUCUUAUUUUUCAUAGAACUUCUUAUUGUCUGCGUUAGCUCCUCAAACUCCUGGAGAAAUAGAAAAGAAAAUGAUAAAUUGAAAGAAAAAGGAAAAUAUCUACCUCCUAGAAAUUGAAGAAUUCUGUGAGGAAGCUAGAAACCAGGAGGGUAAGCCUCUGAAACUCCCAGAUUCUAUCUGUAGUGUUGACUGCUUUGCCUUUUUGAAGCCUUUGGGGCGCUACACUAUUACUAACUAGGGUUUUAUAUGGAUUUUGCCCCAUUUCAUGGUUUUUUUCUUUUUGUCCCUGCUUCGAAGGUUGGAACAGUAGCUCCAUUGAGGUUGAAAAGUGAUUUUAGAUUGUGUUGCUAUCUAUUCCUAAUGCCAGCAUAUCGCCACUUUAUCCGAAACUAUUGCAUGCAAAUGUGGAUAUCUUUUCCCCUUUUUUUUUUUCUGGUUGU
rnacentral:misc_RNA from 1 species